UCGCUACCACCAGGCUGUCAAUCAAGCUCUCUGCGACAGAGAACGUAACAUGAAAAACACCUGGUUCUCCUGGGAAAGAUAAGUUCCCAUAUGACCCUGUCCAAGGAUACAGUGUGCUCCAAGAGAAGCCAGCAGAAGGAGCGUAGGCAUCAGAGGACUGCCUACUUCCUUGAUGGACAGAAAAUAUGCCGGGAGACCUUCAAGUUUCUGCAUGCAUGAGUUAUCUUUUAAAAUAAACCCUACAUUAAGCUCUUUUAAAAACUAUAAUAAUAAGCAUAUGACAUACUUCAUCUUAUUUGCAUGAUGGUUAUUUUUUCCAGAAUAUCUCAAAACAAGCUCACCAACCUUAUCAAAUUUUAUAAACAAUAUGGAUUGGCACCAAGGAUGAAAAGGUCUGGUGGGCGUGUUUUAAGCAGCAGGCUGCUGACUGUUCAGGACAUCCAAAGACUGAAGCAGUUCAUAAUCAAUUUUGCUGAUGUCCACGCCAUGCCACUCCCUGGGCGCAUCCCCCGUUUCAAAAGGUCUGACAUCCAGGUGCUUCCCACAACAGAGACCAUGACAUCAGUGUGGCGGAAAUACAAGGCGCAGAUGUGCGACCAUGCUGCACUGUGACAACUGCUCUGGACAGAACAAAAACAGGUUCAUGCUGUGGUACCUGGCUUGGCGAUGCAUGGUGGGUCUUCAUGACGGCGUGUCCCUCAAUUUUUUAAUUGCUGGCCACACCAAGUUUGCCCCGGACUGGUGUUUUGGGCUGUUCAAGAAGAGGUUUUGUCGUACACCAGUUGCCAGUCUGAAAAACAUCUGCCAGGCUGUGAGCUCCAGCACAUCGGAGAGCAAUGUGAACAUCCCCCAGCUGGUCGGUGAUGAGACUGGGCAAGUCUUUGUGCAGACACACAACUGGCACAGCUUCCUCACUCCCAGCUUCAAGCCUCUGCCAGGUGUAAAGAUGUACCACCACUUCCGCUUCACCAGUACAGCCCCUGGAGUGGUCUUUGCCAAGGAGUCCGCCAACAGUGAAGAAGAGUGCUUUUUGCUUCUUUGCAAUGAAGGAAUCCUUGAUCCUGAAGCCUUGCCCACUGCACAGAAACCACCUGGCCUUAGUGCUAUGCCUCAGUGGUAUCUGUACAACAGCAUCAGGGACUUCUGCACUGAGGACACAAAAGAUCUGGUUUGUCCAAAACCAGCUGUGGCUCAACUGUGAAUAUGCAAGUGGUACAAGUCAGGUUAUGGGCAUGUAGCACGCAUGUGCAAGUGUUAAAUGGUCAUAUACUUCUAUAUUAUUACAUUAAAUAACACUAAAUUAGAUUGCAUUGUACAUAAUUGUUGAGUCAUAUUAAAUACUCUUCUUAUUAAUUAAAUAACACUAGAUUGAUUACAUUGUACAUAAUUGUUUAAAAUAGUAAUAGUAAAUAGUAAAGUAUAUAGUAAAUAAGUUUGAAUUGUAAGUUUAUUUAUUUGAAUGUAAACUGUUUAUAAAUGUCUUUCAAUUUAUUUGGAAUGUGGUGGAAUGUUAAUUGCUGUCUUUAGAGCCCUUUUUCUCAAAAACAAGGUUUGGUGACAGUCGACCUUUGGAAGAGCGUGUCUCAUACAAUUUUUGGAGUAGAAAAAAUAGUUUUGGUAUCACCAUAAAGCUCAGACUUUCCUCUUUACAAUCAUGAAGAAAACUCAAAAUCUGUUUCUGGGUCAAAGUGACUCAAAAUGAUGGAGCAGGUCACAUAUGUAGAAUUAUAUGGUUCUUCAUUGUCAACAGAACUGCCUUCUAAAGGGUUCUCCUCUUCCUCCUCCUCCAGUUCCAGGCAAUGUCUCUUACAUAGUCUCUUUAUUGGUGUUAAAGUUAGAAAUGGCAGUGAUGCAGAGAAUGCAACAGCUGAGGUGCCAACACCAACAUCAGUGCAGGAAACAGUUUUCUGUGUGCCUUAAAAAAGAUACUUUUAUUGUUUAUGCAAAAUUCUAAAAUGAUAAGCAAUCAUUUUGUUACUCAUUAACAGUACACAAACAGAAGAAAUCACAUCACCUAAUGAAGUAACUUUUGGUCAUCUAACCUGUACUUCUGACAUGAGGUUGGCGAGUCUUCAUUGAAAGCUGUUUUCCAAUUGUGCGUGUUGUUGGUGGGUCCGUCUGGCAUGCCACAUGCUUCACCACAUCCACCAGUCCAGAUGUGCUAGCCUAAACACAAAGAGCAGUGAUAUGUAAUGCAUGCCUUUCCCUAAUGUAACAAAAAAAGAAUUUUAAGGACACGAUACUCCAAAAAUGCAGUAAAAGCAAAUAAUGUCUCAUAAUGUUUUGACACAAUUAUUCCAUUAAAAUUACAUUAUAUUUACCAGUUUGUUUGCGACCACAGAAAAUAAAUGAAAAGGUCCCUGUCUAUGUAACAUCAACGUUCCUACGGUGUCUUCUUCUUCUGUGGACAGCUACUUAGCUACCGAGCAGAUGUGUACCAGGUUAAAGACAAUUAAAAUAGUCUAAGUUUUGGAGCUGGAAGAUGCACGCGAUCAGAUGAUUGAUCUAUUUGUCUCUUAUAAUUUUAUCAGCAGAUAAACAAUGACUGUCAGCUGCUAGCUAACUAGCUUUUCACAUUGAAGCAAUAACGUCCUGUUAUGUUUUCUAGGCUAGUUCAGUUUACAACAGACACUGUACUGUAGUGUUUUAAUUCUGUUUCUGCUCCAAAUCAUCACAAACUUACUGUUGUUUUCUCUGCUCCGUGUCUUUUUUGCCACUCGCUUUUUUCUCUCUCCAAAGUAGUUGUGCGACAGUAAUCAUCAACCGUGAUAAACACAGUGCGCUAGUUCUGGGUUAAUUGAAGCCUUGAUGCAGGUUCUUAUUAAUCGUUAUAGUCACAUUAUAGUACCCGCUAUUCUCAAUUAGCUCGGACCAUGUUGAUAUUCGGGUUUUGUCUCUGCUCAUUCUAGCGGCGACACACACAAACAUAGUACUUACUGAAAAGCAGAGAGGGGGUUGUAGCCGAUUCUGUGGUCUGUCCCAGGACCGUGGUCUCUGGAGGGGACCAGUGGUUACUGCCACUAGGGGCGCUAGAGACACUGGUCGCGACCAGUUGCUCUCUGGCACGGACCAGUGGUCACUACCACUACGUGCGCUAAAGACAUUGGUCGCGACCAGUGGCACAGUGGUCAUGACCAGCUUCUUACUGGCACAAAGGACACUAAAAUGACUGGUCCUGACCACCUCCUCUGUGAUCUGUUCUGUUGUUUGGACCAGUUGAGUGAUCUGUGG
ensembl:lncRNA